UCUGAUCUCAAAUCAGGUAGGACUACCCGCUGAAC
rnacentral:rRNA from 1 species